GACGAACGCUGGCGGCGUGCCUAAUACAUGCGAGUAGAACGCUGAAGGAGGAGCUUGCUUCUCUGGAUGAGUUGCGAACGGGUGAGUAACGCGUAGGUAACCUGCCUGGUAGCGGGGGAUAACUAUUGGAAACGAUAGCUAAUACCGCAUAAGAGUAGAUGUUGCAUGACAUUUGCUUAAAAGGUGCAAUUGCAUCACUACCAGAUGGACCUGCGUUGUAUUAGCUAGUUGGUGAGGUAACGGCUCACCAAGGCGACGAUACAUAGCCGACCUGAGAGGGUGAUCGGCCACACUGGGACUGAGACACGGCCCAGACUCCUACGGGAGGCAGCAGUAGGGAAUCUUCGGCAAUGGACGGAAGUCUGACCGAGCAACGCCGCGUGAGUGAAGAAGGUUUUCGGAUCGUAAAGCUCUGUUGUAAGAGAAGAACGAGUGUGAGAGUGGAAAGUUCACACUGUGACGGUAUCUUACCAGAAAGGGACGGCUAACUACGU
rnacentral:rRNA from 1 species